UUUCCGUAGGUGGACCUGCGGAAGGAUCAUUCAUAAUAAAGUGUUUUAUGGCACUUUUUAAAAAUCCAUAUCCACCUUGUGUGCAAUGUUAGAUCUCGUCAAUCUUGGCGAGAUUUUUAUACAUCAACUCAUUCUUUAACUAAUUUGUCUGAAAAAUACUAUGAAUACUUAAUUCAAAAUACAACUUUCAACAACGGAUCUCUUGGCUCUC
rnacentral:misc_RNA from 1 species